rnacentral:rRNA from 1 species
CCUAUGGCAGAGCUGGGUAGCUAUGUGUGGAAUGGAUAAGCGCUGAAAGCAUCUAAGCGUGAAGCCCCCUUUAAGAUGAGAUCUCCCAUUCCUUCAAGGAAGUAAGACCCCUGAGAGAUGAUCAGGUAGAUAGGCUAGAAGUGGAAGUGCAGCGAUGUAUGGAGCGGACUAGUACUAAUCGGUCGAGGACUUAACCACAA